rnacentral:tRNA from 1 species
AGAAAAUUAGUUAAAUAUAACAUUAAUAUGUCAAAUUAAAAUAAUUGGAAAUCAAUAUUUUCUA